AACUUGUAAUGUUGCGUUUGGGUAUAGAUGCGAUAAAUACGAUAUGAUCGGUGUUUGGAUCGAUGGAACAGGUAAGACUCAAUUUUGUGCACGAUGGUAAGUUGGGCCUCAAUGGGCUGGAAUCGGGCCCAAUAGGCUUCGGGCCCAUUUGGGUAAAACUGAUAGAAAAUGGAAUAUUGAAAAGUUGCAUGUUAACACGAUUAGUACUGUUGUAAAAUUUGGAUUAUGUGGGCUUAAUGGGCUAAAUCGGCAUUCGUAGGGCCCAUUAGAGGUUUUGGGCCCAAAAGCCUGAGUUUAAUAAAGUGGGUUCAUUAUUUAAACACUCGGAAAUAUUGAUAAUUGUUGAUGAACAUGGAACACCCUGAUAUUUGGUAAAAUUUCGAAAUCGCCCUUAUAAUGUGAAAAAUGACUAUUUUACCCUUGUGGGCAAGUGACUGACUUGGACUGUGUGGUUGACGGAUUUGAUUGUGAAUAUAUGUUGGUGAUAUGAAUGACUUGACUGUGCUUGUUUGAUUCAAAUAUGGGCAUGUUGCAUGGGUUGGGUUUUAUAAAUGGAGGAAGUGCUAAAAGGGCUAUGCCCCAGUUUACCGAAAAGGGAUUUGCCCCAGUUUAUCAAAAAGGGCUUUGCCCCAGUUAUUAAAAGAGGCUAGGCCUCCAGUUAUAUGAUAAAGCAGCUAUGCUGCCAGUGGAGAGUUUGGUUGGGUGGGUUGAGUUAUUCCCCACAUGGAGAGCUUGGUUGGUACGGGUGGAGAGUAGCGGAUGGUGGGUUGAGUAGUCUCCCCAUAUGGGCUUGCAUACAUUCAUUGGUAUUUCAUAUGAUAUUGAAAUGGGCUUGCAUACAUCCAUUGACAUUACAUGUGACAUUUAAAUGGGCCUAAGGGCCAUACCGUUUACGAUAAAGGUUUCGGCCCAGUGAAAUGAUUUAUGAAAAGGCUUCAGCCCAGUGAUAUGAUUUAUGAAAAAGCUUUAGCCUAGUAAUCGUUAAAUGAAAGGCUUCGGCCCAGUAUAUGUCAAGACUAAAUAGGGCUUUGGCCCAGAUUGUACUGAUACUGUGUUUUCACUGUUUGUUUGUUAUUGGGAUUACACACUGAGUUUUCAUAAACUCACCCCGUUUCUAACUGUGCAGGUAAUCCCUAAGCUUAGAUGGUUUGGAGCUGCGAGGGACUCGGAGAUGGCCACACUACUGUUUAUGUUUCUUUUAAUUGCAAUAAGUAGCCGAUUUAUUUCUUUAUAAGUUUUAUCUUAUUAAUAUUAUUGUUUGGUUUUGAGUUGUAAUAAGGCCAUUUUAAUUAUUUUUCUGGGAUUAUUUUAUUUUUAAUAACUUUAAUCUGUUUGUUAAUAAAUGGGCUAGACUUAGGACGUGCUUUCAAAAUGAUAAUUGUUUUCAAAAUAACACCACGCCACGAUUAUCCAAUUUAUCAAAUAUUUCAACUUAAAUAAAUUACAACUCGAUUUAACCAAGUGUGGCAAUGGUUGUGGGCAUGUCUAGGAUUGGAUCCAUUAGAAGAGCUUGGUACUUAAGCAGCCUUCAUGGCUCACCUCCUCUGUUACGGAUUCCUACCUGGUGCCCAACUCCCAUUCACUUUGUUAGCUUAAAAAAAGUCAGUUUUUAAAGAACUAAAAUGAAACAUGGGUUUUUAACUUCAAUGUGGCACAUCAGAUUCAGCCAUAAUGUCUGGUCCGGGUUUGGGGUGUUACAGUGCCUAUGGUUAUACCUUAGUAACUCUGAAUCAAAUAUUAUAUGAAUUAUACUUAAUGGUAUUUAGAUUAACUGUUAUACUAUGUCCUUACUAAGCUUUUGAAGCUUAUCGAUUUUUGUAGAUUGUUUUAUAGAUAACCAUCGUUGACACAUUGGAAGGAUCAUUCAACUGACACACACUAUCCAUCAAACUUGGUAGUUUUUGUGUCUCUUAGGGUAGUGGCAUGUAUAUAUAUAGAUGAAUAUGGGGUUGAAGGGCAUAGGAUGUUUUGUAUUGGUAUUUAAGUAUGUUUAUACUUUGAAAGUUUGGGUUGGUGUACUUUACUGCUUUACCAAGUAUUGUCAUUUUGGGCAAUUCCAAAUACUUGUAUGUAAGGUUCCAUGUUGGUAUUUUAUGAUGUAAUGAAAAUAGUUAUUUGAGAUAAGUUUUGGUAAGAG
rnacentral:lncRNA from 1 species